CCUACGGGGGCAGCAGUGGGGAAUAUUGGACAAUGGGGGGAACCCUGAUCCAGCCAUGCCGCGUGUGUGAAGAAGGCCCUCGGGUUGUAAAGCACUUUCAGUGAGGAAGAACGCCUGGUGGUUAAUACCCAUCAGGAAAGACAUCACUCACAGAAGAAGCACCGGCUAACUCCGUGCCAGCAGCCGCGGUAAUACGGAGGGUGCGAGCGUUAAUCGGAGUUACUGGGCGUAAAGCGCGCGUAGGUGGCUUGAUAAGCCGGUUGUGAAAGCCCCGGGCUCAACCUGGGAACGGCAUCCGGAACUGUCAAGCUAGAGUGCAGGAGAGGAAGGUAGAAUUCCCGGUGUAGCGGUGAAAUGCGUAGAGAUCGGGAGGAAUACCAGUGGCGAAGGCGGCCUUCUGGACUGACACUGACACUGAGGUGCGAAAGCGUGGGUAGCAAACAGGAUUAGAUACCCGGGUAGUC
rnacentral:rRNA from 1 species